rnacentral:rRNA from 1 species
AUUGAACGCUGGCGGAAUGCUUUACACAUGCAAGUCGAACGGCAGCACGGACUUCGGUCUGGUGGCGAGUGGCGAACGGGUGAGUAAUACAUCGGAACGUGCCCAGUCGUGGGGGAUAACGUAGCGAAAGCUACGCUAAUACCGCAUACGAUCUAAGGAUGAAAGCGGGGGAUCGCAAGACCUCGCGCGAUUGGAGCGGCCGAUGGCAGAUUAGGUAGUUGGUGGGGUAGAGGCCUACCAAGCCGACGAUCUGUAGCUGGUCUGAGAGGACGACCAGCCACACUGGGACUGAGACACGGCCCAGACUCCUACGGGAGGCAGCAGUGGGGAAUUUUGGACAAUGGGCGCAAGCCUGAUCCAGCCAUUCCGCGUGCAGGAUGAAGGCCCUCGGGUUGUAAACUGCUUUUGUACGGAACGAAAAGGCUCUGGUUAAUACCCGGGGCUCAUGACGGUACCGUAAGAAUAAGCACCGGCUAACUACGUGCCAGCAGCCGCUGUAA